CCCCCACCGAUUUUCUCCCUCUUUCUCCUUGAUUCCUCUGAUUGAAGCUGCGACCUUUGAUUCGUGCUCACCAUGAUUUCUCGCCGGCGAGACCACCGAAGGCUGAGGUAAGCCUUCCUCCUCUUCCUCUCUUCCCUCUCCUUCUUCCCGUGCCUCUGUGCACGACUGCAGGCGAUGGGUGUCGUCGAAUUUCAUCGAAGAAGGGACCCCUGUUCGGUCUCUUC
rnacentral:lncRNA from 1 species